rnacentral:rRNA from 1 species
GACAGAGGUGCCGAGCGUUAGGCGGAAUCACUGGGCUUAAAGCGUGUGUAGGCGGAUCCGUAAGUACCUUGUGAAAUCCCACGGCUCAACCGUGGAACUGCUUGGUAUACUGCGGGUCUUGAGCCACCUAGGGGCGGGCGGAACAAGUGGUGGAGCGGUGAAAUGCGUAGAUAUCACUUGGAACGCCAAUGGUGAAAACAGCUCGCUGGGGGUGUGCUGACGCUGAGACACGAAAGCCAGGGGAGCAAACGGG